rnacentral:lncRNA from 10 species
AGGAGCGGCCUGGCUUUGUCUGAGUCAGGCAGCCCAGCGUGUGGGAUGCCAGGCUGGAUGUGCUGGGCCUGACCAGCCGCCCGCUUUCCUCUUCUCUUGCCUCUGCCUGCCCCCUGGUGGACAGCUGGGGUAAAGCAUGGGAGUGCGCCUUUGGGGUCUCAGUGGGGCUGAAAUACGACUCCUCCCCUAGGACAGCCUGCCUUCCCCAGCCUUGUUCUCCGGCAAAGUCAAUUUCCUGGAGAAUCGAGGCUCUGCCUCAGAUGUUCGGAGCCUCCGCAGGAUGAACACCUCCAUUUCAAUUCCAGGGGCUUUGAUCAACCUGUGCCUCCCUUGAUCCCCAACUUGUGGGCACCUUCCCUUGAGCAGUGCCCCCACGAGGUACACCUUUCCCGGGAAACAAAAAUCAUUCCUUCUUUGGGUCCUGCAAGCUGUAAAGAACCAAUACAGCACUGUGCUACUGAACAUGUUGCCACUAUAGAAGCCCCUUGUGUUUUGAAGAGUACAUCUCUAUAGCCAUUCGUUUAUUCAUCAGAAACCAGCUAGAAGCCAGGCCCUGUGCUGGGCGCUGGAGACAUGGAAGAAACUGGGCUGAGGCUCCCGCCUUGAAGAGCUUGUGGCCCAGGGAAGGGACAGUUCAUCUGUCAUUGAUUGCCACGUGACAGUGUCUAUGAUGCUAAAAAGAUGCCAGUGCUGUGCUGCAGGAGCAAAGGCCGUGGAGGAAGAGGCUUUGGCUUUGUUGCGAGUCCUUGCCAGAGCCAGGCAAAGCCAGUCACCGCUUUGUUCAGAUGACUCAGGUAAAUAAAUGAGGCCGCACAGGCUGUCCUGACACCACACACCUCUAGAAUACCCUGGCUGUGCUGGGAGCUAUUGGUGUCAGCUGAGUAUUUUCAUCCCUGUCCAAGUCACAAUGAUCUGACUGUACCAGCCUGUGUGGAUGUUGCUAAGAGGAGGCAGACAGCACCAUGAGCUCCCUUAGAUGACGAUCGGCAUGAUGUUCCUGCUGUGGCAGCGCUCAGCUCUUGCCAAUGCUCUUCUCUGCUUUGCUCACUUUAAGCCUCCCUUAAUUUUUUUGAAGCCCAGUUUCCACAUUGCUGAUUCACAGAUAUGCAAGACUCAGGCAGGAAAAAAAAAAGGUAAUUAUUUCAAAUGACUCAGGCGCCCUCCUUGACUCUGGGAUCUCUGUACAGACUUGCACUUUAAAAGCUGAGGGUAAUGAUGUUGUCAUUUGUAUAGGAAAGGCUGGAAGAAAAACACAUUAGUGUUCUUCCAAACUCUUGACUUUUGGAAAAAAUUAGCAUAGAGAGGAUGGAUGCUCAGCCAUGGCCUGACAUCGAAUGCCUAAUGCAGAGGUGAAGACACCUGCACAGUCCCAUGCACUGGCGAGCUUCCUGGGGACAAGGGCAGUGCCUUGAUCACCUCUCUUCCUCGUGCAGUAAAUGUUUGUUGGAUGAAUGGUUGUCAACUCUAGUCCUGUCAGUCCUCCCUGAGCCCUGAAACAGAAAUUAGGAAAUAAUAACAAUUAGCAGGUCCUAUACUCCUAGAUUUAAGAUUUUUGAACAAAUAAGGGAAAAUUAUUUGCCUGCUACAAAACUGCUAAGAGAGAUGACAAUGAAGGAAGGGUGGGAAUCAUCUAAGGGAAAGAAGAGGGGAAUCAAUUGCUCCACCAGUGGCUUGCUGAAAAGCUUUCCACACUUGUAGAAAAAAAUCCCCCACCGCCAAGAGUAGAGGCCCCAGCAAGGGCAGUCACAGCAAUGGUGGCCGUCAGGUGCCCUAUGCAGCAGAGUGGAGCCAUGGGCAGCAAGUAGAUCAUGCUGGGAUAAAGGCUGUGGGGGCUGUGCUAGGGAUGGCAGUAACACAUGGAGACUCUCAGUAAGGGGGCCUGAGGUGUCAUCCACCCCCAACUCGACCAUUCCUCCCCUCCCCAGAGAAAAGCCAGCAUCAGCAUCUAAGGGAGGGAGGGCUAGUGUGGCUGGAUGGGGUGGCAGGGGUAGGAGGCACAGCCAAAGGCUCUGGAAAUCAGCUUGAAAUCUUAGGUUUUCCCUGAGGCUGCUAUAGCUUGGGGGAAUGGAGUUACAUCUAACUGUAAAUGUUGUUCACACUCAGUCUAAAGAAAGUCCAAAAGUCAUUUUAGGAUGGUGGUGUACUUCAAAUUACUUUUCUAUGCCCCAGUUUUGGGUUCCAUUAAAUUCUCAUUCUUCCCGCAUUUCUGUUUUUCCUCCAGGUACCCUCAAAGAGCACCCAUAAUUCAUUCAUUCAUUCAUUCAUUCACUUAUUCAACAAAUACUGAUUGAAUCCCUGCUCUUUACCAGGCUAUGCUAGGUACCAAGAAUAUAGGGUCAGCAAAGGCAGGCAUGGUCCCUGCCUUCAAAAGGAGAGGACCUUGAUCAAACACACACACAAGUUAACAUCAUUGCAAUGUGUGGGGUCCUGGGUAUAUAAUGAGGGGAUUUGGUUAAUAAGGGACGUCAGGGAAAUCUCUGAGGAAAUGAUGAGUGAAAUAAAAUCUGAAGGAACAAUAAGAUUAACUAAGCCCAGUGGGUCCUGGGCAACCCCUAGAGUGGGGCUGCACAUGUGUAUUCAAGGCCAUGAAAGAUGGCAAGUGUGACCUGAGUGCAGACAGCAAGGAGGUGAGAUUCUCAAUCAGGCUGGGGAAGGCCAUGCACGGGGAGCCACUGAAGUGUUGAAGUGGCCAGGUGAUGUGAUCCAAUGUGCAUUUCAGAAAGAGUUUGAUCUCCCUGUGGAGAACAACUUGGAAAACGUCAUAACUAAAUGUCAUUAGACCAGUUAGGAAGCUAUUUGCUGCAGGUGAAUUGGGGUCCAAGAGAGGAACAAUGGAGGGGAAAAUGAUGAUGGGGUAGAUAGGCUUACAACAUAUUCCACUCCUGAAAGAUCUUCCAACAGCCUUGCCCUGCAAUGAGCCCUUCCCUUCAUGGGCUAGAUCACCAUCUGAGAGAAAAGCACAACCUUCCUUUCCUUCAGCUUUGUCCCUAAGGAUGUCUCUUUAACUUGUCCCUUGGGAUGCCUUCAUGGUUUCUUUCUAGCUUGCUCAAAAAAUGAAGUAAAGCAUGUCCAUGAUACCUGGGACAUAUCAACUUCAAGGUCAUGGAUUGAAAUGAUGAUAACUCAAAUUAUAGGACUGUCAACUUUCAAGCCCCCCUGACCUUAAGUGAUGGAUCAAGGGGCUGGAAUCAGAUCAAGAGAGCUUCAAACCACUGCUGGCUGCUAGAGCAUUCAAUCUGCUGACUGGAUGCUUAAUAUAAUAUAUAAUAUAAUAUAUAAUAUAAUAUUGGAAUAUAUAUAUAUGUGCAUAUAUAUGUGUGUGUGUGUGUGUGUGUGUGUGUGUGUGUAUAGUCCAAUUACCCAAAGUGGUCUUCUUCCAAACAUUUUGAGGAUGCUGUAAUAAGAUCCCUGCAUCAGGUGAAAGUGGAACUAGUUACCAGAUGUUCUCUUCUGCCUGGGAUCCCUGCUCCUGCAAGACAGUCAGUAAUCCGUUCCAAGAAUGAUGUUUUACCAUGGUGCUGUGCUAGGCACCAGGGAUUGGAAGAUGAAGAAACAUUUCCUGUGCUCCUGGAGCUGCAGCCUAGCAGGCCUACCAAUAAGGACAGCGCCAUGGGAUAUGCUGCAGCACAGGCGGAAGCAAAGCGCUGUGGAGACCCCAAGGCCAGAUAUAGGAGCUCUGCCUGGCUGAGUUAGGAAGGUUCUCCAGAGGUCACAUCUGAUCCAGGUGUCAAGGGAUGAGCAGGAAUUUAUCUUGUGAAGAAGAGGUGGCUGGUUGUUUCAGCAAAAGAAAUAGCUCCUAAAAAGACACCUGAGAGUAAGAUGUGCCCCAAAAGUGUCCCCAGGGGUGAUAGAGAGGCUGUAGCAGGAGGUAAGUCUGGAGACAGAAUUCUGGUGGGGUUACUGGAGCAGGAGGGUCUGUCUGCUUUAGGGAAUAUACUGUGUUAGUUUUCUAUUGCUGCAUAGCAAAUGACCCCAAAACUGAGACGCUUAAAACAGUCAACAUGUGUUAUCGUAUAGUUUUCAUGGGUCAGGAACACAGUUGUAACUUAGCAGUCCUCUGGCUCAGGGUCUCACAGGCUGUAAUCAAGGUGUCAGCCAGGACCAAAGGCAACUCAAAGUUCUACCAAAGGAGGGUGAACUUCCAGGUUCACUCCUGUGGCUGCUGGCUGGAGACAUCAGUUCCUUGCCACAUAGGCCUCUCCACGGGGCAGGUCCCAACAUGGCAGUUGGCUUAGAGAGAGACUUUUUGUAACCCAAUCUUGGAAGUGACAUCCCAUCACUUUUGCUGUAUUCAAUUUGUUUAAAGCCAAGCACCAGGUCCAUCCAGCCCACGCUGAAGAAGAGGUUACAUGAGACAGAGAAUACCAGGAAGUGAUGAUUACUGGGGGCUGUUUUAGAGGCUGCCUACGGCAUAUACCAAGAGCUAUUUAUGGCCUCAUUGCAGCAUUAUCCCACUCUGCAUAAAUUAUAGAGAAAGACAUAUAAUUUUAUUGCAUAUUAGUUUUUGUUGAUGGGUACAUUCUGGUCCCUAGGAGCCCUGAAGAACAAUGUGCUUCAUUUCACAGCUCUCCCUAAGGAUUUUAUACAACCCACUUGGCACUCACACUGUUAUUAUUAAAUGGAUUCAGCCAAAAGCUGCCUGUGGGGGUAGAGAUCGGUGGGAAGGUAGGGCGGCAGAGAAAGGAAGUGCUCAGGACCCCAAAUUGAAUAAAGAAAAAGGUCACACGCCAACUGCAAGUUAGAAAUGAAUCUGAGUGAAAGUAAGUAUCCUGGUUGACAGCUCACACAUGAUGCCAACUUGCCACAGCUUGGCAGCGCCUUUGGUUUUCCCACAUGCAACUGAAAAUAGCUAGCAUUCAUCCUGAGAGAGUGCUACUAAAAUAAGUAACUACUUGGAGCUAUACCUCACUGCUCAUUCAAGCUGGAAGCUGUGUGCAAUUAUUUUGCUGAAAUUAGAUACAAAUUAAGUUGCCACUUCCGGAACUCUUUCUCCUGUGCUAUAUUACAAAAAAGAAAGUGAUUUUUGAACUCGGAUAGCUUAGAUGUUGCUUCUUAAAAAUAAAUGUAAUCUCUUGACAGAAUAUCUAAAAAGACAGAUUAUUGAUUUUAAUCUCUCAGGAGACCUAACCUCUUCACGAUCCAGGUUUCCUGAUUUUCAGACCUGAGUUAAGUUGCUAUGGAUACAGAGUGACAGGCCAGUGAAGGAAACUGGGGACAGGGAGUGGCCUGCCCACAGGUGAGAUAUACUGUCUUUAAGCUUGUUAGGGAUAGAAAAGGGGGCUAGCCUAGAAUUGUCCUCUGGGACAUAAGGUAAUGGUCCUGCUCCCACUUUUUAAACAGUGGUUUGAAAGUUUUCUCAGGGUGUGCAUACAUUUGGACGUACAAGUUCUGCUACGUUUUAAAAAGCAAAACAGAAUAAACAAACAUAUAUGAAAACAAACAAUAAUAAUGAUAAUCUGGGGCUUUCCUCAAACUUGGCUGGAAGUUACUGGCACACAAAUAGUAGAGGUGUUUGGGGGUUUUCUGCUAUGAAGGAGUCCUUGAUUUGUACUAUCUCAAUAAAGCAACCUUCUUUUGACCUGCCUUUGGAAGAAGUAGGUGAAUUUCUAAGAGCCCAGCUGUGCUGGACCCUAGGAGGCUGUCAAGACUCCCAGGGUAGGAAUGUUCCUCCACAACUUUGAAUUUCAAUUUCCCUUUACAAAAGGCAAAAUUUGUUUUAUUCCCCAUUGUUGGAGACAUUAGUCAUGGAUGAAACAAAUUUAAAACUCCCCCUAUGCCCUGCUUCUUGCCCACCCCACACAUUCCCACUCUAUAUCCUCAUUCCAAUCUAGUGAAUCUUAGAAAUGACACAUUGAAUGAAGAGCUUUGCAGGUAACCUUCCCUUCCUAAUGAAGUUUCCUUUUUGCGGGGUUUUGGUGUGUGUGUGUGUGUGUGUUUGUAGUUCCAUAAUUCUCAAAUGAAAAAUUGCUAAAAGGUCAUCUAUACAAAUCCUUAAGAUGGUGAACCUCUACAACCUUACUUUAAUUUUAGGAGAUAUUUCAUUUCAUGCCUUAAGUUUUGCAAUUAUUUUCAGUGUCUCCUUUUCCAGACUUCUUAGAGGACUUGGAAAGAAAAUGAAAUGACGUUGAACGAAAUCAAAGUAAAUUGAGUGAUCUGAAACGAUUUGAUGUCAGCAAGAAUUCCCCAUACAGCUCACAGCCCUACCCCGAGCACGCCUCCCUCUUGGGUAUGGUGAGUUCAGCUCCAAAUUUAUUCUGACAAGAAAGCACAGGCAAUGGCUUCAGUGGGUCUAAAUCAGGUGAAAAUUCAAAGCAAUCACCCUUCCUGGACAAUCUUCUGCUUUCUCAGUGCUUAUCAUGGUCUGAAAAUUCCUAUUUAAAGAAGCAGAGCUUUCUUUUAAGUCCUAACAGAACAAAGUCACACUCAACAGUGCACAGGCACACGCCGGGAUCGAGAAUGCAUUUUUGGCAAAAAGUCUCCUCUUUUCUCUGUCUCCUCCAGCUCUCUGCAGGCCCAAACCUUGCAGAAGCCAUUCCAUGUUUCCUGAGCAGGAAAAGACAAACUCAGACCGACAACCUUGGACUUCAAAAGACUGCACACAAGGGGAGGAAGGACUGAGAGUACCAAGGCGUGAGAAUUCAGAAUGCUGCUAUCUCAUUUAUUUUUACCAUUUAGGAAACGUUUUGAUCUGCAUUCCUUUUCCCUUCCCUGAUUUCAAAAAAUAAAAAUAAAAAUGCUUCGGUUCUGAGGA